rnacentral:tRNA from 1 species
GGGCGAUUAGCUCAGCUGGUUAGAGCGCUGCGUUCACAUCGCAGAGGUCAGAGGUUCAAAUCCUCUAUCGCCCA